rnacentral:rRNA from 1 species
UGAGGAAUAUUGGUCAAUGGGCGGAAGCCUGAACCAGCCAAGUCGCGUGAGGGAAGACGGUCCUAUGGAUUGUAAACCUCUUUUGCAGGGGAGCAAGACGCGGUACGUGCACCGUGCUGGAGAGUACCCUGAGAAAAAGCAUCGGCUAACCCCGUGCCAGCAGCCGCGGUAAUACGGAGGAUGCGAGCGUUAUCCGGAUUUAUUGGGUUUAAAGGGUGCGUAGGCGGACUGGUAAGUCAGCGGUAAAAAGUGCGGUGCUCAACGCCGUAGUGCCGUUGAAACUGCCGGUCUUGAGUGAGCGAGAAGUAUGCGGAAUGACGUGGUGUAGCGGUGAAAUGCAUAGAUAUCACGCAGAACUCCGAUUGCGAAGGCAGCAUACCGGCGCUCAACCGACGCUGAGGCACGAAAGCGUGGGGAUCGAACAGGAUUAGAUACC